rnacentral:lncRNA from 1 species
CCGCAUCGACCACAAGUUCGACCUGAUGUACGCCAAGCGUGCCUUCGUCCACUGGUACGUGGGUGAGGGCAUGGAGGAGGGAGAGUUCUCUGAGGCCCGUGAGGAUCUCGCUGCCCUGGAGAAGGACUAUGAAGAAGUUGGUGCUGAGUUCGACGAGGGUGAGGAUGGUGAUGAGGGUGAUGAGUACUAGAGCAGCUGAGAUUGCGACCUGAUGAUCUGCCCGAGUGGCUUUAUCUGUUUUCUGUCUGUUUGAAUUGAAUGUUUGCUGUGUGGUGUUUGGUUUACAACCUGUUGUGUUGUAUGAACCUGCUUCGCACCUUGGUCAAUAUGCAUGUUAUCCGGUUUGCCUACACCAUAGAUCUACUGCUCCGUCACCAUUUCCCUGUUUCAGUAUGUGUAUUGUUUCUUCGUGUGAUUUGGUUUGGUGUCGUCGCCUGGAUGAUCUCUACUUCAAGGGUCACAGCGAUCAGCGGUGUCUUUGAAAUGCGUCUGUGCUAUGCCUGUAACUGUUGUAGCUUCCAGUCUGUAACAACUGAGCUGAACUGCAUAGCCGUCUGUAGUCCCUGCAUCUGGUCUGUUGAACUUUGUCUCCAAUACAGUCAUCGUCCCAUCUCCAAGCAUAU